ACUGCUCAGUAACACGUGGACAACUACCCUUUGGUCCGGCAUAAUCCUGGGAAACUGGGGAUAAUUCCGGAUAGGUCACAGGUGCUGGAAUGCACUGUGGCUGAAAGCUCCGGCGCCGAAGGAUGGGUCUGCGGCCUAUCAGGGUUGUAGUGGGUGUAAUGUACCUACUAGCCUACGACGGGUACGGGUUGUGAGAGCAAGAGCCCGGAGAUGGAUUCUGAGACACGAAUCCAGGCCCUACGGGGUGCAGCAGGCGCGAAAACUUUACAAUGCGGGAAACCGUGAUAAGGGAAUCUCGAGUGCCAGCAUAUAAUGUUGGCUGUCCAGAUGCCUAAAAAGCAUCUGUUAGCAAGGGCCGGGCAAGACCGGUGCCAGCCGCCGCGGUAACACCGGCGGCCCGAGUGGUAACCGCUUUUAUUGGGUCUAAAGGGUCUGUAGCCGGCCAGGUAAGUCCCUUGGGAAAUCUGGCAGCUCAACUGUCAGGCUGCUAGGGGAUACUGUUUGGCUUGGGACCGGGAGAGGUGAGAGGUACCUUGGGGGUAGGGGUGAAAUCUUGUGAUCCUCGAGGGACCACCAGUGGCGAAGGCGUCUCACCAGAACGGGUCCGACGGUAAGGGACGAAAGCUAGGGGCACGAACCGGAUUAGAUACCCGGGUAGUCCUAGCCGUAAACGAUGCUCGCUAGGUGUCAGUCACGGUGCGACCGUGAUUGGUGCCGUAGGGAAGCCGUGAAGCGAGCCACCUGGGAAGUAUGGCCGCAAGGCUGAAACUUAAAGGAAUUGGCGGGGGAGCAC
rnacentral:rRNA from 1 species